rnacentral:tRNA from 1 species
GUUUUAAUAGUUUAAAAUAAAACACUGGUCUUGUAAAUCAGUAAUGAGAUUAAUUCUCUUAAAACU